AGGGGGCUAGCGUUGUUCGGAAUGACUGGGCGUAAAGGGCGCGUAGGCGGUUUUUUAAGUGAGGCGUGAAAGCCCUGGGCUUAACCCAGGAGGUGCGUUUCAUACUGGAAAGCUUGAGUACGAGAGAGGAAAGUGGAAUUCCUAGUGUAGAGGUGAAAUUCGUAGAUAUUAGGAAGAACACCAGUGGCGAAGGCGACUUUCUGGCUCGUAACUGACGCUGAGGCGCGAAAGCGUGGGGAGCAAACAGG
rnacentral:rRNA from 1 species